rnacentral:lncRNA from 1 species
CCCUGUCAAUCAAGCCACUGGCACCAUAUUUGGAUGCAAUCACCUACAGUCACAUGAUCAUGCUACUGAAUAAAUCCUACUCCACCCCUUCCAUCAUAAGCAUUCAAACUCACUAUACCGUUGAGUCAGCUUUACCCUAAGGACUAGCAAAUUGCUUCGCUCCAAAAAUAUAGCUAAAAGAUGAACAAUAAAGUACGUAAUGUUGGAAUGUCCCGCA